CCCUGGUUAGCUCAGUUGGUGGAGCGCUCCAGCCUCCGCUGGAAAUCGAGAGGUCCCGGGUUCGAUACUCGGACCAGGCA
rnacentral:tRNA from 1 species